AAAAAGUUCCACCAUAUUUUCUAUUUCCCCCUAAUUUCUAAAAGCCAAGAACCCUAAAUUUCAUUCUCAUACAUUUCUUCUCCAUCACCUUAGCCAAACUCUUAUUCUCAGUUCUCCUUUUUAUGUUUUUAUGCAAUUUAUGACUUGAAAAUUUCAUCCAUGCUAACCUUUUUUCUCCUAGUUUGGUGGGAAAAGUGUUGGGACUUUUGAUGUUUUUGGGAAAUGGAGAUACAACAUGGUUUCUUCUUAGCCUUUGAGGAAGAUAUGGUGAGUGGGUUAUCGUAGAGGAGGUCAGGAACGAAGAGUCCGUCGAGAAAUGGGUCACCCAUCACUAGUUUGCUUCAGAGGAAGAAGAUGUGGUUUCGUUAGUUCUGGUUUAGGGACUGAGGUUAUGGCAUCUGGUGUUUGUCGAUUUUCUGCUUUGAUUUGUAGUAUUCCAGGGUGAUGGGCAGCUUAAAUGUCAGGAAGAUAAGCUCUAUCUAUCAAAAAGGGUCAGUGUCUUCUACCUCUGGAUGCUCUGACAUCUUAUUUGAAUGUUUCCCUAUGGGAUCUCGAAUCCUUGUGUAUUUUCAAAUGUGGUAAUGGGGAAACUACACCAUUCCAAAGGAUAAUCCUUAUAUUGAAGAUAAAGAGUUGUAGCCAGAAAUAUGGGCACUAGGAAUGCGAAAUCUUUGACGGUGUAGCUUCGAUUCUGCAAGAACAUGCAAGGCCAUCUUACUUCAUGUUUGUAGAUCUAGGCCAGGUAAUGUUCAAUAAUUUUACUCUCCAAAUAGUUCUCUUAAAUGAGUGUUGUUGUUUCGCCUUAUCGAGAUGCAGAUCUUGGUUUUGGGUCUUACCAAGCAAAAGAGAUGUUAGACCAUCUUGAGAGUGUUCUUGCAAAUGAUCCUGUUGCUGUGAAGAGUGGACAAUUCAUUGUUGAAGUUAAGCCUCAGGUGUGCCAUAUCUUAACCUUUUCAUUUGACGCUGACUUACUUGAAUCCAUUUGCUGAUUCUACAUCUGUUAGUAUGGAUGAUGACAAAAGUAAGAAAAAUGAGCAAAAAAAACAUAACCCCAAAGAAUCAAUAGAGAAGAGUUUAGCAUCUACCACCGCAACAUUUAAAGGUAUAGAUACGGCUGUAAGGAACAACUCGAGUAUUGACAAAAGAGCAUCAAAAAAAGAGGAAUGGUGCUUCCUUUCCAGCCAUUGUCACUUGCAUUUAAACAUGUCAAUUAUUAUGUCGAUAUGCCAGAAGAAUGGAAGAGACUCAUCUCCAAUUGAUGGAUGUCUUAGCAGGAAGGAAAACUGGUGGCUACACUGACGGAAGUAUCAUCAUUUUUGGUUAUCCGAAAAACCAAUCAACUGUUGCUCGGAUAAGUGGUUACUGUGAACAAAAUGACAUUCAUUCUCCACAUGUUAACUGCUUAUGAGUCAUUGAUAUAUUCAGCUUGGUUGCGCUCUCCCCGGCUGUCAAAAAGGAAACUAGGAAGAAAAUGGUUGUUGAGCCUACAAAAGAACAUGUUGAUGUUGCUGACACUGAACAUGUGGCAUCAUCUACUGAUAAUGUAGAAAAGACAAAAAAGAAGAUAAAGAAGGGAGUUUUUUCGAUGAAAUGUAAUAGUUUAUUUAGGUCCAAAAAGGAUGAUUUUGAGAAGAGAUUGCAGCAUAUUUUCAAAGAGGAGGCUGCUGUUAUUGCCAGAAUCAAUAAGCGAUACCAAAAUUGGAGAAGGAUGACAAGACAUCUCAUUGUACUUUCUGUACUUAAACAAAUAUAUCCUUAAACAAAUUUAUCUUUUCUAAGCUUUUGAAUUGGUUGUUUUUAUCUGUAUGUUCAUGGUCACCUGGCUUUCGACAUAUUAAGUUUAUUUUGAAUGCACUUUAGCAAAUAGUGAAGUGAUUGAGUGGAGAGCCAUGACAAUUCUAAGUAUCAGUUUGUGUGUGUUAAAAACUACAACAUUUUUCUUCUAGUAUUAUUUCCAGAACAUGGUCACACUAUUUUUUUCUACUCCUUCUGCCUUAUUACUUACCUUCUCAAAUAGAAAAAAUGUUUAUUCCUACUAGCCUAGUAUGUUAUUCAUCACUUUAUUUUUUUUCUGCCUUGUGCCAUGUGAUGUUGCUGGAUUCUUAAUAGCAGUCGUAAAGAAAUAGAAUGCAUUCUAACUUUUAAAUGCGCAAAUCUAGUUGAUGGUCUUUCCUGAAUCUAUUUAAUUUUUCCUAAUUAUAUUGAGCAUAGGUGAAAAACAAUUUAGUUGUCUGAUGAGCUAUUUGAUUAUCAUGUAUAGCACGAUUAUACAGUAACUACAUCUGAUAAAACAUGAGAAAGAUGCCAAUCCAGUCCAUCUGAGUGUUUUUCGACUUUUUAACUAUUUGAUGUGUAACUGAAAGCUGCAAUCUGGAAUUAAUCUGGAACUGGAACUUUAAUCUGCAAUCUACAAUUUGGUUUUAAUUUGCCUCAGAAUCUGCAAAGUGAACUCAAA